GGUAUGCACAAUCUACAAAACCCCACAGCCCCUGAGAAUUCUCUCGCCUGCCUUCGGCCCUUAGGCUCCGGGAGAUUGCAAAUAACCUGCUUUCUUUCUGUUCCCAGGUGGCGUCGGACCCCUGUCAGAGAGUAAAUCUCAAGUAAGGUACCUGCCAUCGGCAGAUGGGAGCUUUCUUCUUGGACACCUAAUACCCACAGUCCUCCAGGCUCCGGUAGACUGCAAAUGACCUGCUUUCUUUCUGUUCCCGGGCUGCGUUUGGACCCCUGUCGGAUAGUAAAUCCCAAGUAAGGUACCUGCCCUCGGCAGAUUUGAGCUUUCUUCUUGGACACCUAAUACCCACAGUCCUCCAGGCUCCGGUAGACUGCAAAUGACCUGCUUUCUUUCUGUUCCCGGGCUGCGUUUGGACCCCUGUCGGACAGUAAAUCCCAAGUAAGGUACCUGCCCUCGGCAGAUUUGAGCUUUCUUCUUGGACACCUAAUACCCACAGUCCUCCAGGCUGUAGAUGAAGGGGUUCAGCAUGGAGGUGAUCACCGUGUACAUCACUGAGGCCACUGCAGCCUUUCUCGGGGAAGAUGACACAUCUGAACUGAGGUACCCUCCAAAGCCUGUUCCGUAAAAUCAGCAAACAACUGACAGGAUAACUUCAGGAAGUGGGUAUUAAUUCUCACGGUAUAAGUGAAGACAUUAAGCACCAGAGUUUAAGUAGCUUGAUCCACUGAAAGAGAUUCAACUGUGUGGAACCUAUGCCGUGGAGAAUUGCUUUCUGCCAUUGUUAUCGUCCAGCAGUUGCCGAAUAGCUCUGACCUGAGCAAAGCAGUGAAACGCGGUGCUGUUGAGUGGGUUGCCACUGCACCUUUUUCAACUACUCUAGUCUUGUGGAGAAAAUACCCCUUCUAAAUUUUUUCUUCAUUGAAUACUCUCCCUCAGCUCCAGAGUACCAUAUAGAGUUUUCUUGUAUUUUAGAGUUACUGUUUUAUCAAAGUUUACCAGUCUUUUGUAUUACAUUUCUCCUGUCUAAAUCGACUGUGUGGUUUCUACUCAUUAUGGAUAUAGAUUGAUACAAACUCAAUAAAUAUUUUUGAAUGAAUAA
rnacentral:sRNA from 1 species